GGUGUCAAAGGAUACAUCAGUUCCUAGAGCAAGAACAUUAGUUCCCAAGACACCAGAGAAGUUGACAAUGGGGUUUGCUGUCAACCCAACGCUGGUGCAUAUCCCAGCAUAGUCAUGUAAAUAUUGAAGUUCCAUCUUUGCAGAACUUUGAUCAGGAAUUCGGCAACUAAAAAUUGUCUUCAGCCCAGGAGCAGCUUCAUCGACAGUAACAGUUGCCAAAAGAUUUGAGUUCGUGUCUACUUUUAUAUCAGUUGUGAGAUUCUUGUUCUUCAACUGAGUGUUAACAUCAGCCAGAAAUAGAUCACCUUUCUUCAGUCCAGAUGAAGUAAUAGCAACUCCGGUAGCAGAGUAAGUCGUAAUUGUGAAUUUGUGGUCAGUCUGGUAAUCCCUGUAGAGAAGAUCUCGGGUCUUCUUGCCGAUAUCGGAGUAGAGACCAGGUCCUUUUCCCAUGAUUGAAUCGAAAAUGACAGAAGUAGAAGAAAUUGAGGUAAAAGC
rnacentral:misc_RNA from 1 species